rnacentral:ncRNA from 13 species
AACGCGACUGGCGCGGUCAAGGUGGAUCACCACCGGGGAGCGAACGACGGUCCGGACACCGCGCGCCUGGGUGGACGGG